UGCACAUUGUAGGCGAAAAUGUGAGAAACAAAAUAGCCAGACGGUCAAGAAAAUAGUGUUUACAAGACCGAAUAUGAUGACUUGGAAUGAUGUACGACGUUAUGAAAAGUCCAAAUGCAACUAAACGUAAAAUUGGUGGUAUGGCAAUAUUCCUUUGCAGACUGUCUGCAAUUUUAAGCGUAACAGGGACAGUUGCCAUAAUAAUAAGAACUUGUAAAACCAAUUGUUUGUUUGUGACCGUUGAGCUAUAUUGAAAUGCUUGAUUUCGUCGGUAAAG